UGGGGAAUAUUGCACAAUGGGCGCAAGCCUGAUGCAGCCAUGCCGCGUGUGUGAAGAAGGCCUUCGGGUUGUAAAGCACUUUCAGCGGGGAGGAAGGCGGUGAGGUUAAUAACCUCAUCGAUUGACGUUACCCGCAGAAGAAGCACCGGCUAACUCCGUGCCAGCAGCCGCGGUAAUGCGUAGGGUGCGAGCGUUAAUCGGAAUUACUGGGCGUAAAGCGGGCGCAGACGGUUACUUAAGCAGGAUGUGAAAUCCCCGGGCUCAACCUGGGAACUGCGUUCUGAACUGGGUGACUAGAGUGUGUCAGAGGGAGGUAGAAUUCCACGUGUAGCAGUGAAAUGCGUAGAGAUGUGGAGGAAUACCGAUGGCGAAGGCAGCCUCCUGGGAUAACACUGACGUUCAUGCCCGAAAGCGUGGGUAGCAAACAGGAUUAGAUACCCUGGUAGUCCACGCCCUAAACGAUGUCGAUUAGCUGUUGGGCAGCAUGGCUGCUUAGUAGCGAAGCUAACGCGUGAAAUCGACCGCCUGGGGAGUACGGUCGCAAGAUUA
rnacentral:rRNA from 1 species